rnacentral:lncRNA from 1 species
CUCUUUCUUUCUUUCUUUCUCUUUCUUUCUCUCCUUCUCUUUCUUUCUUUCUCUUUCUUUCUUCUUUCGUUCUUUGUCUUUUUAGAGCCACAUAUGGAAGUUUCUGGGCCAGGGGUUGAAUUGGAGCUGCAGCUGCAGGUCUAUACCACAGCCACAGCCACACUGUUCUGCACCUGCCACCUACGUCAUAGCUUGCAGCUGGAUCUUUAACCCAUUGAGCGAGGCCAGGGGUCGAACCCCCUUCUCACAGAGAUCAUGUCAGGCUCUUAACUCACUGAGACACAGCAGGAACUCCACGAGGCACCUUUAUACUAUAGACUCAUUUAAUCUUACACCAGAGAGGUAGAACAGAAGUAGAAAACUGAUCCCCAGUUUUUCCAGGAGGAAACUCUCAGGAGAGUAAUAAAUUUAUCCAAAGUGAGCAGGCCAGGCGGUCCAGGCGAUCCAGUGGGCUAAGGAUCUGGCAUUGUCACUGCAGUGGCUUGGGUUGCCGCUAUGGCGGGGAUUUGAUCACUGUCCCAAGAAUAUCCAUAUGCAAUGGAGGCAGCCAAAAUAAAUAAGUAACCGAAGUGAACAGCCAGUAACUGACUGAUAGAAGCAGAAUUCCACCCAGGUCCACCCACUUCAAGUCCACAGUGGACUGCUAGAUUUUCUCUGAAUAUCACCUCUUGUAUCCUGAACACACAGACAUAAGUUACAAAAGAAUAAAUACAGGAGGAGUUCCCGUCGUGGCGCAGUGGUUAACGAAUCUGACUAGGAACCAUGAGGUUGAAGGUUUGAUCCCUGGCCGCGCUCAGUGGGUUAAGGAUCUGGGUUGCCGUGAGCUGUGAUGCAGGUUGCAGACACGGCACGGAUCCCGCGUUGCUGUGGCUGUGGCGUAGGCUGGCGGCUACAGCUCCGAUUAGACCCCUAGCCUGGGAACUUCCAUAUGCCAUGGGAGCAGCCCUAGAAAAAAAAAAAAAGAAUACAUGCAGGAGUUCCCAUCAUGGCUCAGUGGUAACAAACCCGACUAGUAUCCGUGGACACGGGUUUGAUCCCUGGCUUCACUCAGUGGGUUAAAAGAUCCGGCAUUGCCAUGAGCUGUGGUGUAGGUCACAGACGUGGCUCGGAUCCCACACUGUGGUGUAGGCUGGCUGCUGUAGCUCCGAUUUGACCCCUAGCCUGGGAACCUCCAUGUGCCGCUAAAAGACAUAUACACACACACACACACGCAAAACAAGGAUAAAUGCUUGGAGUUCCUGCUGUGGCACAGUGAGUUAAGACUCUGACUGCAGCUGCUCUGGUCACUAAGGAGGUGUGGGUUCGAUCCCCGGCCAGGCACAGUGAGUUAGAGAAUCUUGUGUUGCUGCAGCUGCCAGAACACCAGACAGCUCCUCAAAGGCAGGAGACUGUGUGCGGACCUGGAAAUCGGCCCAUUGUCCAGAGUCCCCACAUCAGAGUGACAAGGGAGAAGCUGGGAGGACAAACCAGACCAAACGUGUCUGCAAAGCCUCCAUCCUCCACUUCCUCUGUGGCCUUGGACAAUUCUCUUGGACCUGUGCCAUGGGUCCCUCAUCUGUUGUAACGGGGAUAGCAGUAGCUUAUCCCGUGACCUGUAACACCUACUGCACUGGCGCUGACAAUGAGAUAAGCGUGUGAAGUGCUUAGCACAGAGCCCAGGACGUGGUGUUAUGUGUUUCUCUCCAUGAGAAGGCACUCAUUUCAAAAAUUUAGCUGGAGUGUUUCUAAUGAUGGUUUAGGGACCAAGUGAAAGAUUAGGGGUAUUUAUUGGAGGGGAAAUGCGUAAGAAAAAUAAUUAAAGCAACUGGCCUCUUAAGCAGGGUUGUUAUGGGGAGUUACCAUCAUGGCUCAGUGGUUAAGGACCCCAACUAGUAUCCAUGAGGACAUGGGUUCGAUCCCUGGCCUCUGGCCUCCCUCAGUAAGUUAAGGAUCCUGGGUUGCCGUGAGCUGCGGUGUAGUUUGCAGAUGUGGCUCAGAUCCCGCGUUCCUGUGGCUGUGGUGUAGGCCAGUGGCAACAGCUCCAAUUAAACCCCUAGCCUGGGAACCUCCACAUGCCACGGGAGUGGCCCUAGAUAAAAAAGACAAAAAAAUAAAAAAAACAGUGUUGUUAUAAGGGCCAAGGAUCCCCCAAGUUCUGUGAAUAAGAAUUGUAUGUAUGUAUGUAUGUCUUUUCAGGGCCACAUCUGAGGCAUAUGGAGCGGCCUAAGAAAUGGCAAAAAGACAAAAAACAACAACAAAAAAGCAACUUGAGGCUGAUUCCUGAGGUUCCUCCCACUCAGCACGGAAGCAGAAAAAGGGACCUGCUAAUUUGGUGUCUUCCUCUACUGCUUGGUUGUGCCAGGGGUCACUUGGGGCCAUUUGUGCCAGCACUUCUGUAAAGUCAUCAGCUAAUGCUGUUGGUGAUUUGGCAGGCUGGAGUGAGGGAGCCAAAUGAAAGUGAACGAUGGACUCCAAGCCCCUCCCCCUGUAUUAUUUCUAAGGUCCAAAUGAAGAUCCAUGCCUCUGGGGCUCCACCCCAGUGAAUUUGGAAGCUGCAAGUUCAUGACAAGCUGUCAGUGUCUCUGAAAAAAAGAAAAUCAAAUCUCUAGACAAAGUCCCGGCUCAGCAAACCUCUCAGCAGCUGCAGGGAAGCCUCAAGUUCAUAAUGGAUCGCCAGGCCUGGCCAUAAAAUCAGCUUCAGAAAGCCAUGAGCUUUUCCUUAACCCCAUUAGUCCUUCUGCAUUACGUCUGUGGGAGGCUGAAAAGGGGAAAUCCUGGAGUUACCAUUGUGGCUCAGUGGUUAACAAAUCUGACCAAUAUCCAUGAGGACACAGGUUCGAUCCCUGGCCUCGCUCAGUGGAUUAGGGAUCUCGUGUUGCUGUGAGCUGUGGUACAGGCCAGCAGCUGUAGCUCUGAUUUGCCCCCUAGCCUGGCAACCUCCAUAUGCUGUGGGUGUAGCCCUAAAAACCAAAAAAACCAAAAAAACAAAAAAAACCAACCAACCAACAAACAAAAAAAAAACCCAAAAAGAAAGAAAGAAAGAAAAGGGGAAACCCCACAUCUUCUCACUGCUGGGCAGCACCUAGCAGUUCUUGGGGAAAGUUCUGGCUAUUUAGCGGGCACGUGAAGGCAGGCUAUGUUACCUGGGAUUUGUGCUAAUGCAUGUAAUUUGGAUGGAUUACUUGGAAAGGUCCGCUUGCAUUAAAAAGGAAAAAUUCACGUUGUUUUAAGAAAUUCUUUCUACAAAAGGCACCAAGGGGCCCCAGCAGCCUGCCUGUCACAGUCUGAUCCUGACUAAGAUGCCUCGGGCAGUCAGGAAGCCCUUACGUAUGUAUUAAGCAUUAAUUUCCACUUGCGAUUCAAGCUAAGUAGCAAAUAAUUCCCUUAAGCAGAGGAAAACACCAAACAAAAAAUGCUGCUAUGCUCAGAAAUCUUGGAUUCACAUCUUACUUCGUUCUCCGAAAUCUGAACAAUGUUUAGUUUAAAAAAAAAAGGAGGAGUUCCCAUUGUAGCUCAGUGGGUUAAGAACCCAGCUAGUAUCCAUGAGCAUGUGGGUUCGAUCCCAGGCCUUGCUCAGUGGGUUAAUGACCCAGUGUAGCUGUGAGCUGUGGUGUAGGUUGCACACGUGGCUGGCUCAGAUCUGGUGUUGCUGUGGCUGUGGUGUAGGCUGGCAGCUGUAGCUCCAAUAUGACCCUUAGCCUGGGAACCUCCAUAUGCUGUGGCUGCAGCUCUAAAAAAAAAAGAAAGAAAGAAAGAAAGAAAGAAAGAAGAAAGGAAACCACCACCAGAAAAUUCUUUCCAUCUUCGAAGGGAUCAUGAAAGGACCCCAAUACAUUUUCACCUGCCCCCUUAGCCCGGAGCAGUUGGGCACUUAAUGCACUGAGUGGGGCAGAUAACCCCCCCCCUGGGAUACACACCCAGAAUUGCUUUCUGUAACCCCAAAGCUUGUGGUAGAAGCGCCACCAUUCCUGUCCCAGAGAACGAUUUAUGUGACAUCACACAUACUUUGUCUGGGCAGCCGGAGCCACUGCCCUCGGUGUGUUGUCCAAGCCCAGCACCGAGUAGUUUGAGGUUUUCCCCUCCGACCCCAGAGCUUGCACCCUGCACACGAUUAAUGGUCCUUAUCUGGUUGAGGGGGCAGGACUAAUAUCCCUGGUCACCUGCAGCAUCAUCCCUGUUUCUGCCCAAGCGACUCUGCCCUCCAUCCCUGCCCACUGCCUGUGUAUCCCCCGAGGUCAAAGGUUCCAACCUUGGGACAAUGGCCAUGACCUUGGGCACGUUGUUCCGUUGUCCCCGUGAGGUCCUUCCCGGAAGCCCCCAGAUCCAGCCUGGCCCUGUGUUGGAGUCAAGGCAGGUUGGCAGGGUCAUACCAGGCAAGACAUUGACAAAUGCCCGCCGCCAUCCUUCUCCUGUGAGACUUGGCUUAGCCCGACCCCCCGCCCAGCCUAAACCUCAGAGCGGGAGGCACACACCUUCUUCCAGAUGGAUCCCAGGAGGCAAAACUCCUGAAUCAGGCCUGUUCCCCAGUGACUUCCAGCAUGAGACUAGAGGUGGGCUUCUCACCCCCCACAAGCCCGCCCGGCCUUCACAAGGACCCUCUAGCAUCCUGACUCAGCUCAGGGAGGAGGGUCAGAGCUUGUGUCUCUCAGACCGGAAGUGCCACGGAACCCACAGGACCCCCUCUUUUGGCAGUGGCCUUCUGUUUCCUUCUCCCCCUCCCCGCUCCUAAGUAGCCCUCCCGACCCCCGUCGGGGUCAUGGAUUUUCUAGGUGGGAAGGGGCUUUGGAUGGCUCCCGGCCUCUGCUCUCCUCUACGACCGUAGUGAUUAGUCACUGUGACCUUCCUUCCCCCCAGCUCAGCACCCCCUGGGGGGCCAGGGAUUGUGCCCUCCCCUCCAGCAGAGAUGGGAUUGCUCUGACCCUUGCAGCUUCCCUGGGGAUCUGGUCUCAGCGGGCUGCCUGUCCUGCCCACAAGCUGGCCCGGGUCUCAUCUUUGCUACCCUCCAGGUCUGUGAAGACCCUCCACCAAGGCUCUCGGGCCUGGCAUCUGGCAGCCUCCCCCAGCUUUGAGGAGCCCCAGUGGGUGUCCCCUCUGACACCUGUCCUCGAGGCUGAGAUGUGGACAUACCUGCAUGCUGGCGGAUGGAUAUUUCAUUCAUUCAUUCAUUCAUUCAUUCAUCAGUGUCUUAAUGAGCCUCAACAACAAGCCAAGGUCUCUGCUCUUCUGGAAACUGUGUCCUAAAGGGGGAGACAGCUGAGCAAAUAAUCUCAGGGCCACCGCUUGUGAUUCAUGGAACAACAUAGGCUAUUGAGGGAGAGUAAUGGGGAACCCAUCAGAGCAGGCCUCUCAAGGGGCCUCUUAGUGGGCCUGAAGCUGUGCCCUUAGGGGAGGAGGGCUCCAGGCAGGAGCACAUCUGUCUCCAAAGCACCCCCUGCAGUUGCUCAAAACAGAAUUUGAAACCUCUGCUCCACCUCUGCCUAGUUUCCCUAGGUCGGGGGGACCCCUCCAUCCAGCCAACUGUGCGCCCAAAGCCUGGAGGUCCAGCCGUACACUCCUCUGGCCCACACCUCCAGUCACCAAGUCCCGAGGAUUGUCCCUGGAACUUGACAGCGUCACUCUGCCUCCACCCUGUCCCAGAUGCCACCUUCUCUCUCCCCCCACCCCCACUGGUUCCCUGGUUUCGUUCUUGUGCUCUUCCCAUCCCACGCCUGCUGGGAGUGCCACAAUCGCUAUAGCCCCAGGCUGGCUGGCGACGGAUAAAGGGAGAUGUGGCAGAAACCGGCUCUCCCCCUCCGUCCACUGUGCUCCAGCUCGACCCCACCUGCCAGGCCCUCGGGGGCUGAGAACAGUUCUCUCCGCUUCUACCUCCUGCAGCAAACUGUCCUCAGAACUGCUGCCACAAAAAGCAUUUUGCAGCGGUGGAGCCACUCUAGAAUCCCCCCAAACAUCCCCUAAUAGGGGGCUCCCUCGUCUGCUUGGCCCACAGAAGGGAGGGAGGUCCUCUAGUCCUGCUCUUAUUGCACGAAGAGGUCAGCACAUCAUCAGCUAGCUGGUGAGGAAGCUGGGGUGCUAGCGGUGAUUUUCCAAACUUUUUAAAUCAGCAGAUUUUUUUCCCCUUGACAUACAACCUUGAGCACAUGAGAACUGAGCUUGGAGCUCCCGUCGUGGCUCAGAGGAAACGAAUCUGACUAGUAUCCACGGGGACGCAGGUUCGAUCCCUGGCCUCGCUCAGUGGGUUAAGGAUCCCGCGUUGCUGUGGCUGUGGCGUAGGCCGGCGGCUAUCGUUCUGAUUUGACCCCUAGCCUGGGAACCUCCAUAUGCUGCAAGUGGGGCCCUCAAAACAAAAAAAGAUAGAAGACAACUGAACUUUUCUGCUAGAAGUGCUGCUGGGUACCCUGAUCGCCGCCUUUCACCCGCCCCUCCCUCUGAAGUUGUGGGGGGAAGGGGGACAGAAUGAAAAUCAUUUCUUUCUUUUUUUCUUCCUUCCUUCCCUCCUUCCUUCUUCCUCGCUCCCUCCCUUCCUAAGAGAUAGCUAAUAAACCCUUUAUUUUAGAAUCAUUUUUGUUGUGUGCUCUCUCUUUUUUUUAAGGGCUGCAUCUGCAGCAUAUGGAGGAUCCCAAGCUAUGAGUUGAAUCAGAGCCGCAGCUGCCAGCCUACACCACAGCCACGGCAAGGCCAGAUCUGAGCCACGUCUGUGACCUACUUGUCAGCUUGAGGGAAUGCCGGAUCCUUAACCCACUGAGUGAGGCCAGGGAUCAAACCUUUGUCCGUGCAGAUACUAGUCGGGUUCUUAACCUACUGAGCCACAACAGGAACUCAAACCAUCUCUUAUAAAGGUGACCAGGAGAGCUUGGAGCUUCUGAUCAUCUUUCACCCCACAAUGGUAACCAGGUGAAGGCUUCCAAAGCAAGAGCAGGACUCUUGAAAAAUAAACCAAAUCUAGAUCAUUUUCUGUACCUUUCUAGAAUGCAAGCAGACAAUGCAUAUAAAAAGCUUUAGGGGCUCCCUCGUGGUACAGCAGGUUAAGGACCCAGUGUUGUCACAGUACAGGCUCAGGUUACUGCUGAGAUGCUGGCUGGAUCCCCCACUCCCAGGAACUUGCCCACAUUCUGGGUGUGGCCCCCCAAAAAAGCUUUAGAAUUCUCAUAAACCUCUGAUAGAAUGACUCAAGUCUUUAAAACAUCCUAGGAAAAGCCUUAAGUACAGAAGAGAGAUUCCUAAAAGACGUUGACCACUGUCCCAGCUAUAAAAGCGGGGAGAACUGACCAGCCUCCGGGAUGCGCACCUGCUCGUGUUCACGGGAAGGCAGCCUUUAAGAGGGAUGAGGACGCACACCUGAUGUGGAAAUAGGUCCAGGAGGUGAGAAACAGAGCGACAAAACGUUGUGGACAGAAAAAUCCCAUGCGUAGAAAAAAAAAGAGUAAACAUCAAUAUUUUCAUGGCAGGAUUACGGGAAAUUUUCUUUUUAACUUACUUCUAUUUCUCAAUUUCCUACA